rnacentral:rRNA from 1 species
UACGUAGGGGGCGAGCGUUAUCCGGAUUCAUUGGGCGUAAAGCGCGCGCACCAGGCGGGAUCUCGAAACCGGGGGCUCAACCUCCGGGCGGAUCCCGAACCGGUGUGCUCGAGUGCGGUAGAGGAAGUCGGAAUUCCCGGUGUAGCGGUGAAAUGCGCAGAUAUCGGGAAGAACACCGAUGGCGAAGGCAGACUUCUGGGCCGACACUGACGCUCAGGCGCGAAAGCUGGGGGAGCGAACAGG